GAUGAACGCUGGCGGCGUGCCUAAUACAUGCAAGUAGAACGCUGAAGGAGGAGCUUGCUCUUCUGGAUGAGUUGCGAACGGGUGAGUAACGCGUAGGUAACCUGCCUGGUAGCGGGGGAUAACUAUUGGAAACGAUAGCUAAUACCGCAUGACAACAGUUAUUGCAUGAUAACUGUUUAAAAGGGGCAACUGCUCCACUACCAGAUGGACCUGCGUUGUAUUAGCUAGUUGGUGAGGUAACGGCUCACCAAGGCGACGAUACAUAGCCGACCUGAGAGGGUGAUCGGCCACACUGGGACUGAGACACGGCCCAGACUCCUACGGGAGGCAGCAGUAGGGAAUCUUCGGCAAUGGACGGAAGUCUGACCGAGCAACGCCGCGUGAGUGAAGAAGGGUUUCGGAUCGUAAAGCUCUGUUGUAAGAGAGGAACGAGUGUGAGAGUGGAAAGUUCACACUGUGACGGUAUCUUACCAGAAAGGGACGGCUAACUACGUG
rnacentral:rRNA from 1 species